rnacentral:rRNA from 1 species
UGCAGUCGAGCGAACUGAUUAGAAGCUUGCUUCUAUGACGUUAGCGGCGGACGGGUGAGUAACACGUGGGCAACCUGCCUGUAAGACUGGGAUAACUUCGGGAAACCGAAGCUAAUACCGGAUAGGAUCUUCUCCUUCAUGGGAGAUGAUUGAAAGAUGGUUUCGGCUAUCACUUACAGAUGGGCCCGCGGUGCAUUAGCUAGUUGGUGAGGUAACGGCUCACCAAGGCAACGAUGCAUAGCCGACCUGAGAGGGUGAUCGGCCACACUGGGACUGAGACACGGCCCAGACUCCUACGGGAGGCAGCAGUAGGGAAUCUUCCGCAAUGGACGAAAGUCUGACGGAGCAACGCCGCGUGAGUGAUGAAGGCUUUCGGGUCGUAAAACUCUGUUGUUAGGGAAGAACAAGUACGAGAGUAACUGCUCGUACCUUGACGGUACCUAACCAGAAAGCCACGGCUAACUACGUGCCAGCAGCCGCGGUAAUACGUAGGUGGCAAGCGUUAUCCGGAAUUAUUGGGCGUAAAGCGCGCGCAGGCGGUUUCUUAAGUCUGAUGUGAAAGCCCACGGCUCAACCGUGGAGGGUCAUUGGAAACUGGGGAACUUGAGUGCAGAAGAGAAAAGCGGAAUUCCACGUGUAGCGGUGAAAUGCGUAGAGAUGUGGAGGAACACCAGUGGCGAAGGCGGCUUUUUGGUCUGUAACUGACGCUGAGGCGCGAAAGCGUGGGGAGCAAACAGGAUUAGAUACCCUG